GACGAACGCUGGCGGCGUGCUUAACACAUGCAAGUCGAACGGAAAGGCCCUGCCUUUGUGGGGUGCUCGAGUGGCGAACGGGUGAGUAACACGUGAGUAACCUGCCCUUGACUUUGGGAUAACUUCAGGAAACUGGGGCUAAUACCGGAUAGGAGCUCCUGCUGCAUGGUGGGGGUUGGAAAGUUUCGGCGGUUGGGGAUGGACUCGCGGCUUAUCAGCUUGUUGGUGGGGUAGUGGCUUACCAAGGCUUUGACGGGUAGCCGGCCUGAGAGGGUGACCGGCCACAUUGGGACUGAGAUACGGCCCAGACUCCUACGGGAGGCAGCAGUGGGGAAUAUUGCACAAUGGGCGGAAGCCUGAUGCAGCAACGCCGCGUGCGGGAUGACGGCCUUCGGGUUGUAAACCGCUUUCGCCUGUGACGAAGCGUGAGUGACGGUAAUGGGUAAAGAAGCACCAGCUAACUACGUG
rnacentral:rRNA from 1 species